rnacentral:Y_RNA from 1 species
GGUUGGUCCAAGUGCAGUGGUGUUUAAAUUGAUCACAACCAGUUACAGAUUCCUUUGUUCCUUCUCCACUCCCAACUGCUUCACUUGAUCAGCCUUAA